rnacentral:sRNA from 1 species
ACUGAAAUCACCAAAACGCUUAGAAAAUAUGUCAAUUUUCUUCCUGUUUAAAGCUUUUAACUAACAUUAAUUAUCAGCUGUUUUGUACGGAAAACGUGGACUCUAAAUAAUAUACCGUUUCCCUGCUCUGCUGCUAUUGGCAAUACAUUUUUGUCAUGUCAUCUGCAACAGACGAUCAUACAUAUGUGGCGGAUUAUCGAUAUAGAUACAGCUAGGUAGCAAUAGCAGUGGAAGCCCGGAUUUGCAAGCAAAAUGAGGGAAAGACAGGAUUCUGAAAAGGAGCAUGUUUUUCAUUUCCACACAUGCAUGUGUAUCACUAUGGACAUCUAAUGUUUUUGUGGGAUUUUGUCCAGCAGUUUGCCUUAACAGAAUUUUUUUAUAUUUUAGUUUCAUAUUUAUGUGGAUUCCAAUAAAAAUCAUACAAACUUC